CCUCAAGGCAGGCAGCAGUGACAAGGCUCUGCCCUUACACGUUGACCUUCCCCAGAAGAUGCUCACUGGCGAGGUAAAGAUGGCCCUGGGCCUUGGACAGAGAAUAAUUAGGGAGUUAAUUUAUGCUUCACUUCCGUGCUAGGCACCUAAUGUCCGGGUGGGAGGGCCACCGAGAAGCAUUCAGAUUCCACACUGCAAUUAGUCUGAAAGAACUGCACACUCACCUCGUGUUGGUGUAUUCUCAAAUAAGAAUAUCCAUUCGUAUCUGCAAGGGCUAUUAGAAUAUUUCUGCAUACCUGGACUCACCUAAAGCCACGCAUGUAUCACCACAAAGACGGAAGGCAGAAGUGCGUACAGGUCCGACUGUUUCCCUUGGAGCCGACAUCAAAGACAUUUGCAAGCACCUUGCACUUUGGUACUUUACUCAACAUGUUGUCUUGCUUUGUUUUGGGAAGCACGGUAAUUUCUCAUAAAGCCUGUUUUAAUUUCCCACACAAAGGUAUGGACAGACACGACCCCCGCAAACCGAAGUUCUCUGGCUUCCUCAGGCCUCGGGA